rnacentral:rRNA from 1 species
CCUACGGGAGGCAGCAGUGGGGAAUCUUGCGCAAUGGGCGAAAGCCUGACGCAGCAACGCCGCGUGCGGGAAGAAGGCUUUCGGGCUGUAAACCGCUUUCAGCAGGAACGAAAAUGACGGUACCUGCAGAAGAAGGAGCGGCCAACUAUGUGCCAGCAGCCGCGGUGAUACAUAGGCUUCAAGCGUUGUCCGGAUUUAUUGGGCGUAAAGAGUUCGUAGGCGGUCGAGUAAGUCGGGUGUGAAAAUUCUGGGCUCAACCCAGAGACGCCACCCGAUACUGCUUGACUUGAGUUCGAUAGGGGAGUGGGGAAUUCCUAGUGUAGCGGUGAAAUGCGCAGAUAUUAGGAGGAACACCGGUGGCGAAGGCGCCACUCUGGAUCGAUACUGACGCUGAGGAACGAAAGCAUGGGUAAGCAAACAGGAUUAGAUACCCUGGUAGUCCAUGCCGUAAACGGUGGGCACUAGGUGUGGGUUUCUAUUAACGAAAUCCGCGCCGUCGCUAACGCAUUAAGUGCCCCGCUGGGGAGUCGGUCGCAAGCUAAAACNCGAAAGAUGAGNGUUGAGAGNGCGAGCGACGACGAGGGAGGAG